UCCGGUUUGUCACCGGCAGUCUCAUUAGAGUGCCCAACUAAAUGAUGGCAACUAAUGACAAGGGUUGCGCUCGUUGCGGGACUUAACCCAACAUCUCACGACACGAGCUGACGACAGCCAUGCAGCACCUGUGUCCCGGCUCUCUUUCGAGCACCCUCGCAUCUCUGCAAGGUUCCGGGCAUGUCAAGGGUAGGUAAGGUUUUUCGCGUUGCAUCGAAUUAAUCCACAUCAUCCACCGCUUGUGCGGGUCCCCGUCAAUUCCUUUGAGUUUUAAUCUUGCGACCGUACUCCCCAGGCGGCCAACUUCACGCGUUAGCUUCGGUACUAAGGAAGUCUCCUUCCCCAACACCUAGUUGGCAUCGUUUAGGGCGUGGACUAC
rnacentral:misc_RNA from 1 species